rnacentral:lncRNA from 1 species
CAAAAUUUCAAAAUAUCAAUAUUGUUGUUUUGUUCCAUUGCAAGCUGCUUCCAAAAUGUAUUCGCAUGCCAAACACUCAAUCUUUCCCAUUGGUAACAACGAGUGUUCAUAUUUCAUAUAUUUUAGAUUCUUAUGUUUAAUAUUUUGUUCGAUUUUUAAAUGAAAUAUCACUUAUCAUUGUACAUGUUUCGCGUUUUUUUUAUGUUUAAUUGUGCUUUAUUUUUAUAAGAUUUCAAUAGUUGAUAUUUAAUUAGAGACUUGAACCAGAUUUAUAGAAGCUUAAGGCUCAGUUUUGAAGUUGAUUAGAAGUUAAAACGAGGAUAAGAGACAAAUGGGAUGAGGCGUAGCUGAAACCAAGUGACUCGAGAGAGCCUAAUGCCCUUUACCGAGCAUGGCACCCCAACACGCAAGAAUCGACACUCCAACGCCACACAUCGACGCCACAGCAUGCGACCAGUCGAGCCCCCAUCUUUGUAUCCCAUGCGCCCCAGCGUCAUACCCUUGGCUACCCAACAUAGGCUCUACUGCUUUGAUGAAAUCCUCCACAUUCUAUUCGAGUUUAGAGGGCAUUUUGGUCUUUUAAGAGUUUUAUGAUCCCAAGCAAGCUUCUGUAACUUAGCUUAGGUUAAUUAGAC